CCUACGGGGGGCAGCAGUGGGGAAUAUUGCACAAUGGGGGAAACUCUGAUGCAGCGACGCCGCGUGCGUGAAGAAGGAUUUCGGUAUGUAAAGCGCUAUAAGCAGGGAAGAAAAUGACGGUACCUGUUUAAUAAGCCCCGGCUAACUACGUGCCAGCAGCCGCGGUAAUACGUAGGGGGCAAGCGUUAUCCGGAUUUACUGGGUGUAAAGGGAGCGUAGACGGCAGCACAAGUCGGGAGUGAAAUGCCGGGGCUUAACCCCGGAACUGCAUUGGAAACUAGGCAGCUAGAGUGCAGGAGAGGUAAGGGGAAUGCCGAGGGUAGCGGGGAAAUGCGGAGAUAUUAGGAGGAACACCAGUGGCGAAGGCGGCUUACUGGACUGUAACUGACGUUGAGGCUCGAAAGCGUGGGGAGCAAACAGGAUUAGAUA
rnacentral:rRNA from 1 species